AAAUAAUUAGGAUGAAUUUUUGUUGUUUAUCGAAUGAUAGCCUGAUAGGUGAUGUGUAUCACACAUUUUAUGGUUGGAUAGCAAGAGGACACGAUUUUAUGAAAAUGAUGUCCGACCAAAUUUUAUGAUCCAAAUGUCAACAUCAUUUGAUUUUGAAACUCUAGAUCUUUUAUGGGUAACUUUAAAAUAUUAGGUUUCAAUUAUUGUGUCU
rnacentral:lncRNA from 1 species